UACGUAGGGUGCGAGCGUUAAUCGGAAUUACUGGGCGUAAAGCGUGCGCAGGCGGUUUUGUAAGCCAGAUGUGAAAGCCCCGGGCUUAACCUGGGAAUGGCAUUUGGGACUGCAAGGCUUGAGUGCGGCAGAGGAGACUGGAAUUCCUGGUGUAGCAGUGAAAUGCGUAGAUAUCAGGAGGAAUACCGAUGGCGAAAGCGGCGCACUGGACCACAACUGACGCUGAGGCGCGAAAGCUAGGGGAGCAAACAGG
rnacentral:rRNA from 1 species